AUUGAACGCUGGCGGCAGGCCUAACACAUGCAAGUCGAGCGGAUGACGGGAGCUUGCUCCUUGAUUCAGCGGCGGACGGGUGAGUAAUGCCUAGGAAUCUGCCUGGUAGUGGGGGACAACGUUUCGAAGGGAACGCUAAUACCGCAUACGUCCUACGGGAGAAAGCAGGGGACCUUCGGGCCUUGCGCUAUCAGAUGAGCCUAGGUCGGAUUAGCUAGUUGGUGGGGUAAUGGCUCACCAAGGCGACGAUCCGUAACUGGUCUGAGAGGAUGAUCAGUCACACUGGAACUGAGACACGGUCCAGACUCCUACGGGAGGCAGCAGUGAGGAAUAUUGGACAAUGGGCGAAAGCCUGAUUCAGCCAUGCCGCGUGUGUGAAGAAGGUCUUCGGAUUGUAAAGCACUUUAAGUUGGGAGGAAGGGCAGUAAGUUAAUACCUUGCUGUUUUGACGUUACCGACAGAAUAAGCACCGGCUAACUCUGUGCCAGCCGCCGCAGUAA
rnacentral:rRNA from 1 species